CCUACGGGAGGCAGCAGUGGGGAAUAUUGCACAAUGGGCGAAACCCUGAUGCAGCGACGCCGCGUGAGUGAAGAAGUCAUUCGUUAUGUAAAGUUCUAUCAGCAGGGAAGAAAAUGACGGUAUCUGAGUAAGACGCCCCGGCUAACUACGUGCCAGCAGCCGCGGUAAUACGUAGGGGGCAAGCGUUAUCCGGAUUUACUGGGUGUAAAGGGAGCGUAGACGGCAGUGUAAGUCUGGAGUGAAAGUCGGGGGCUCAACCCCCGGACUGCUCUGGAAACUGUACGGCUUGAGUGCAGGAGAGGUAAGUGGAAUUCCUAGUGUAGCGGUGAAAUGCGAAGAUAUUAGGAGGAACACCAGUGGCGAAGGCGGCUUACUGGACUGUAACUGACGUUGAGGCUCGAAAGCGUGGGGAGCAAACAGGAUUAGAUACCCCUGUAGUC
rnacentral:rRNA from 1 species